GACGAACGCUGGCGGCGUGCUUAACACAUGCAAGUCGAACGGUAAGGCCCUUCGGGGUACACGAGUGGCGAACGGGUGAGUAACACGUGGGUGAUCUGCCCUGCACUUCGGGAUAAGCCUGGGAAACUGGGUCUAAUACCGGAUAGGACCACUGCCUGCAUGGGUGGUGGUGGAAAGCUUUUGCGGUGUGGGAUGGGCCCGCGGCCUAUCAGCUUGUUGGUGGGGUGAUGGCCUACCAAGGCGACGACGGGUAGCCGGCCUGAGAGGGUGACCGGCCACACUGGGACUGAGAUACGGCCCAGAAUCCUACGGGAGGCAGCAGUGGGGAAUAUUGGACAAUGGGCGCAAGCCUGAUGGAGCGACGCCGCGUGAGGGAUGACGGCCUUCGGGUUGUAAACCUCUUUCAGCACCGACGAAGCGCAAGUGACGGUAGGUGCAGAAGAAGGACCGGCCAACUACGUGCCAGCCGCCGCCGUAA
rnacentral:rRNA from 1 species